CCUACGGGAGGCAGCGGUGGGGAAUCUUACACAAGGCACGGAACCCUGAUCCAGCCCAGCCGCGCAACCAAGAAGGAGUUACGGCGGUAAAGCAAUGUAUCCCGGAAGAACGUAAACCCCUUAUCGCGAGGAGAAUGACGGUACCUCAGAAUAAGCAAGCUACACCG
rnacentral:rRNA from 1 species